rnacentral:rRNA from 1 species
AUACGUAGGUGACAAGCGUUAUCCGGAUUUACUGGGUGUAAAGGGCGUGUAGGCGGUUUAGCAAGUCAGAAGUGAAAUUCCCGGGCUUAACUUGGGCGCUGCUUCUGAAACUGCUUUACUUGAGUGCUGGAGAGGAUAGUGGAAUUCCUAGUGUAGCGGUAAAAUGCGCAGAUAUUAGGAGGAACACCGGUGGCGAAGGCGGCUAUCUGGACAGUAACUGACGCUGAGGCGCGAAAGCACGGGGAGCAAACAGGAUUAGAUACCCUGGUAGUCCGUGCCGUAAACGAUGAAUACUAGGUGUAGGGGGUAUCGACUCCCUCUGUGCCGCAGUUAACACAUUAAGUAUUCCACCUGGGGAGUACGGCCGCAAGGUUGAAACUUAAAGGAAUUGACGGGG